UUCGAGUACUGUCAUGGGUUUAUGUAAACUAGUCUGGGCCUGGAGAAUCCCAGGGACGGGGGAGCCUGGUGGGCUGUUGUCUAUGGGGUCACACAGAGUCGGACACGACUGAAGCGACUUAGCAGUAGCAGCAGCAGCAGCAGCAGUCUGGGCUGCUCUAUUUUCCUUUUGUAUUUUUUCAUUCAGAUCUCCUUGCCUUUGUGUACACAAACAUGUAUAUUUCAUUUAUGUUGCUUUAGCCCACCCAAUUCACCCUGAAAUUUCCAGAAGGGGGCACAAGGCUUGCAAAGGGUUCAAUAUUUCAAUGUCAUCUGCACACUUCCUCCCGCUCACUUGAAGGACACGCCCUGAGUGGCUCUCUGAGCUCAUUGCAGUCUAGAGGGACCCUGCCUUCACUGGCUUCCACAGCAUUUCCAGGCCACCCAGUUGCCUCGCCUGCUCUGAGCAGAGUACAGCGUACAUGGAAAGCGGGCUGGCCCAGCCUCUCCCCCUCCAGUGGACCCACUUAGUAUGGAGCUCUUAGGGCUUCCCACCCACUCUGGUCUCACCACAACGUCUCCUCUGCCUUUGCUCAGCUCCCAGCGAAGAAGGGCCUUUGAGCCCAGCUGUUGGUACCCUAUCCCCUCUUGAAAGAAAGCAGGGAGACCUCUUCCCCUCAAAGCUUGGGCGUUUGGGCUGCUUCUCAUCAUCAGGGAAUCUGAGCUGCCACCCCCAGCGUGGUGUCCCAGGAAGGGGUAUUGAUGGAGCCAGAGCUGGGUGGGAAAUAGGAUGAUGGCUCUUUGCCUCCUAGUGAUUCAGGUUCUCCCAGAAUGGCCUCAUGUGUUGUGAAUUACAGAAAUAACAAAAACACCCACGAUUAAAUACAAGUACCAAAAUGUUCUUGAAUGCCAAGUGUAAGGGAUUGAAACGCGCUCUUGAUGCAAGCUGGUCGCACGCGGCUUGCUGCCAUUCGCGCCUGCGCAGCAGUGGAGCCCGCGGGGGCCUGCUCUCCCCGGGCUGGGCUUGCUUUGUUUCUUCUGGUCCUUUCCUUUCACUCUCUGCAGCCAGAGACUGCAGUGGUGUUGGAUCGCAUUUUCCCUGCGAGGGGCCUGACCCCUCUGAUAGACAUAUUUGGUCUUCCUGGGAGGUCUCUCCAGGGUCAGAAAGGAACACACAGAAAAUCCAUUAGGCCCCAUAUCACAUCUCUUCAGGGGUAACAGAUGUCAGUGGUGCUCGCUGAGAUCUGAGUCAGAAAACUGCAGGGUCCUGGAGCCGAGCGUGGCAGAGUCGAGUGAUCCAGCCGUCUGGCCUCCACAGCAUCGAGCGCGGUGCCACCUCUGGGCUCACUAUCUGAGUCCGAGUCUGCAAAUGGUAGGGGUGCACGGAGGGCGGCGGGGGUCUUCUCUGCCUCGCUUCAGCUCCCUCCGCCCCAGCCUCUCCUUGCCCCCUGCUUAGUGGGGCCUGGUUCCUGCCAUGCCGUGGAAGAUGCUAGCAAGGAAGUGGGUGGGUGCACAUCUAAGCUGAGUUUUAUCUUUUUGGGGCUCCUUAAUCUCUUUUGAAGUGAUUUAGACCAUAGAGAACAACGGUGCUUGUUUUUUAUUCUGGAGGCUUCAGUUCUACCAAGAGGCUUCUUAAGUGUUAAGAGGCUCCCCGAGUUGUACCUAUCAACCAUUACCCAGCUCUUACUCCAGGACUCCGAACACUUUUUGUGGAACAGACUUUGCUGUGUCCGGUUCCUGGUGCCACCAUCCUCUGCACAGCAUCCUGUACCUGUAGAUUCUGCAGAAGCUCCUGCUUCAUUUCCUGCUGGAAUGGAAUGAUUCAGGAUCCCCCACUGUCCAUCAUCCCUGAGGGGGAGCAGUACUGAAGAAGAGCUUCUCAUGUUCCCCUUGACUCACCCCUAUGGACUUUGCUGGACUAAAAGAAGGUUGGCAUUCAUGCACUGUAAUUUCAUUGACACCAAAAAAAGCCUUUCCUUCACUCCCCUCACUUCCCCCAAACCCCAAGAAAACAAAAACAAACCCUCCCCUUUGUGUUAACCUGCUGAUAUACAACUCUUGGGGUUUUGUUCUUUUAAAUCAUCUAAAUGCAAAUUUUCUUAGAAGUCAUGAUAUUUAGAGCCUGAAAUUUGUCUGUCUGAACAAAUAAAAGAGUCUCAAUCUCCCCUCUGAGGUCCCUGUGUGAGGGAGGGCCUUAUAUAAUUGCUGAGGAGAAAAAGCAGCCCAGACUCUACUUAACCUACUUCUACAGUUUUGUUUUGAGCCCUUUUCGAGAGAGAGUGCAAGACCAGUUUCUCAUCAAACCCACAAAACUCAUAUUCUCAGACUUGGAGUUUUUUCUGUCCCCACCCCUACCUCACCCCACUUCCUCCCCACCUCUGUACUCCACCGUGGCAGGAAGGAAAGAUGGGACCUUUGCUGAGGGCUCAGGAGUGUGGUCUCAGAACCAGGGGGCCUGCCUUUCCAUCUAAGCGCUGACCCUCUCCAGCCAUGUGACCUUGGACAAGACACAUACUCUGUCUGGGCCUCAGUUUCCUCAUUUAUAUAUUUUGGGAACAAAAAUAGUUCUUAUUUCAUAGGAUUCGUUAAAGGUUUAAGAAUUAGUGCAUACAAAACGCUUAGAACUGUACUCAGAACCUAGAAAGCAUCAUCCACGUAGUCAGAUAACAGAGAGGAAAGCCCUGGUGUUGGCAUCAAGCCACCAGGGUCCGUACCCUGGUGCUGCUGCUUAUGACUGUGACCUUCAGCUAGAAACCCAAACCUCUCCGUCUCAGUUUGCUCCUUUGUAAAAGCAGAAUGUGUGCUAAGUCGCUACAGUUGUGUCUGACUCUGUGCAGCUCUAUGGCUUGUAGCCCACCAGACUCCUCCGUCCAUGGGAUUUUCCAGGCAAGAAUACUGGAGUAGCUUGCCAUUUGCUUCUCCAGGGGAUCUUUCCAACCCAGUAGACGAACCUGUGUCUCUUAUGCCUCCUGCAUUGGCAGGCAGGUCCUUUACCACUAGCGCCAUCUAGGAAGCCCGUAAAGGAGGAUAAUAGUAACCGUAUCAGGGGAUUGUUGAGAAGUUUAAAUGAGUUAAUAUUACAAAGCUUUUCAAUCAAACACACCAGGCACCAGUGAGCACUCAGUGUAAUUAUUAUUUUACUCUAUAGCAUGUUGACAUUGUACAAGGU
ensembl:lncRNA